rnacentral:rRNA from 1 species
AUGGCUCGUGGCGAUCAUCAAAACGGUGAUGAUGAUUUCAUGGAUCCACCACAGCGUAAUCGGGCAACUGGACGGAGAAAAGAGGGUGAUGAGAAGAAGAAACGUAUUCGCAACAGAGCCUCCCAAGAACGACUGACUGCGUUGACUGACAAAUUCACCAACGAUCAGAAGGGGGCUGCUGCUGAGAUGGGUAUGCAGUCUAUGAUGGAUGUCCGGUGCACGAACCUUGUCAACCCUGUAUGCGACUGGCUUGGUGAGAUCUACGACCCCGCCUCUAGGGAAUUCGUGAUUCCGGGACGUGGAAGACUACCGUUGAACGAGGAAUCCGUGUUCUGCACUUUGGGUGUGCCUCGUGGACAUAUCAAAGUCCCGUACGAGGUCAACAAUGAAAUCAAGGAAGCGCUGUUCCCCCGUUUGUUUCCUGGGUCGGAAUCCAUGCCGAACACGUCUGCAGUGGCAGAUUCGCUGCAGGCCAUGACGAUGCAUGGAGAUGUUUUCAAGAUGAAGCUACUCAUGUACCUCAUCUCAGCUGUUUUCACGCCGACCACCUCUCUUCGCCCAAGCAACAAAUGCUUCCCCAUCCUGGCGGAUCUGGAAAAUGUGAAGAACAUGAAUUGGUGUAAGUUUAUUUCCGAUUUCCUGCAUAAUGCAUUCUCAAGCAAGAUGUACCAAAAGGGUUGUCGACUGCAUUUAAUGCCCAUGUACGUCGACUGUCUUGAUCUGUCCACUGUGGAUUUCACUGGGACAGGAGGCCCGCCGCCUGCGCACAAGUUUGUUGUUUCUGCGUGGACUAUCAACGCUGUCAAGGUUGUGCUUGCCGCAUAUAAGGCUACUGACACCAUAUAUGGAAAACUGCAGCUGAUGGCCAAGCAUGCUAUAGACUACAGCGUGUUUGGGGGGCCUCAAAACUUUGGAAAGUGGAUGGACGUGCACUCAGCUCCGUCUUGCCCUGCCGAGGGCACCUGUUGA